AAGUAGACGAAGAAUCGUGCAGCUUUUUAGAUAUAUUGCAUCAACGUAAGCACGAGAAGGAAUGAAAGAGACAAGAGGGAUAAAAGAAAGAUCAGGGGAAGCUGGAAGUAACGGAAGAAAGGAAAUUAGAGCACGUGAUUAUAACAGACAGGAAGGCUGAGCAAGCACAGCACAAGUUCUCGAUGUAGUGGCUGUCUGUGACUACGAUCAGAAAGUAUCUGAUACACGCAAGCGAUGGGGGUAAAACAACGAAAGCAAGGUACUUGCUAUGUAAGAAAAGGUUCAUCGAGUGUGUAGGUGUGUUGGUGUUCUUCACUAUUUCGCGAGUGACGCGAAGAAUACAUCUCUGAGAUUAUAAAGAUCGCAUGUAUAUAUAUAUAUAUAAGUUCAGUAAAAAUUUAGAUUCAGAUGAAUAUGGUACUUAAGUUAAAGGCACCAGGCAAAUGGAAUAAGUAUAAAAAUGAACAUUGUCAAUUUAAUUAAAAAAAAAUUCCAUAUGGGGCUGAAGAGGGCUGAUGUAAUACUUACAUUGUUUAAUUAAAUGAAGUAGCAUGAAACGAUCGUACUACACUACCUUUGGAUAUCCUUGUUGCUUAUUUUGAUUAUAUAUAUAUGUAUAUGUAUAUAUACACUAUGUUAUGGAUUCUUACCAAGAAUCUUCUGUCUGUAAGGCAGCCACCUAUAUUGGAGACGGUUGUUUUGGACAGGUGAAGCGAUAAAUUUUUUAUAGAUUUUAUUCCAAUAAAAACAACUGCCAUCGUCAACCUGGUCAAUAAUAGCAGCAUCACAAGCACAAACACAAGAAACUUACGCGAUAAGCAAGACAAUCCUGGAUAAUUCUGGUGUACAACAGUGCAUUUAACAGUACUCACACAUGUUUAUCAACUGACAUCAAUCAAUCAAUGUUUAUGUAAUAUAUAUAUAUACACACUCACACACACAUGUAUCAUGACGAUGAUUCUUCCAUGACAAUAACUCGAUUUAUAAUACAAUUUUGUGAUGAAAUUUAAUAUUUAAUAUGUUCUAAUUGCGACAUUUUCAAAAGAAAACAAUAUACGUUACACAGAUAAAUGUCUUUAAUUAAUAAGACUUCUUCGGAAACAUGUUACGUUGGAUAAAAACUACUCUUUUCAGAUGGGUGAGUUUAAUAUUUUUUGUUUUUUUUCUCUUCUUAACCCUUCUCCGCAAAUGUUUCGCUCCUGGACAUCUCUGUAAUUGCUCACUUGUAUAUAUUAUGUGUUUGUUUCCUCUGAGAUCUAAUUUAUGAUGAUUAUGAUUAAGUUCUUGUUGAUAAUGUUCCAUUGUCAACAUUGCUUCAACCAGACUCAUGAUGUUCUUAUUGAUAGCAAUCUUUUAUUAAUUAUGGAAAUAUUUCUUUUGUGGACGUUGUUAAUUAGCUCUAUAUCAGCUCUGAUCAAGCAGACCUAUAAUCAAAAACAUUCCAGUCAUGACAGUCUAGUCUUUUUCAUGUAUGCAUGGAACCCAAGCUCACAUUCUUACUGCAUGUCCUUUUCUAAGAUAGUAAGGUGUGAUUGGAGGAAGAUUUGGCUGCUAUUUCUAGCAGGUUGAAUGUCUAUGCAGAGGCUCCCUCGUUGGCUCGGAGGAUCUCUGUUGUCGUUUAGCCACAGCUCAAGUCAGAUCAAGCAGACUUAUGAUUGAGACAUUCCACUUGUGAUCUUCUCGUCGUUUUCCUAUGUGCAUGGAACAUUGGACCAUCCAACGUCUCUUUUUCUCAGAUGCUAGGGUACGAUUUGAGGGAGAUUUGAUUGGUAUUUCGCGCAAGCCUAGCGACUACAAGAGAUUCCCUUGUUUGGCAGAUAUUAAUGAUAGCAGAGGUGUUUGUAUUACUGUUGUGGGUAUUGUUGCAGCUGUUGUUGUCGAAUUUCGGUGGUGAUAUUGUUGAUGCUGUGUUGACAUCAUGCAUCCUGGCUGACUCUACCUGGCACUGAGGUAUUUUCCCUCGGCCAUAUUGUUGAUCUACCUGGCAUUUCUUAUUGGCUCUUGAUUCUUAUAG
rnacentral:lncRNA from 1 species